rnacentral:lncRNA from 1 species
AAAUCACAGGAAACUGUACUGAAAGACCCUGUCUAAUGGUUUGGUCUAGGCAUACUAGUUAGUGGUAGUGAUUGUGUAGGAAAAACCGAUUUUUGUCUAGUUUACGGUUGUUAUGUGUUUACGGCCGUAAACUCCUUACGGCCGUAAACUCCUUGCGGUUGUAAGUCAUGGUUAUAAAUAGGGCGUUGUGUAAGACUUUAAAGGUUGUUGAUGCCUUCGUGUUUUCUCCAAGUUGUAUCCGACGUUUUAUUGUUUUAAGGCGUAUGCAAGCUUGGUUCGUUGUGUUAUUUGCUUAUUAUUUCAUCUUUGCUUCUGUUAUUUGUCUUUGAUCAUUGGUAGAUCCAUUUUUUCGGGCUUUACAAUUGGUAUCAGAGCGAGACCAGUGUCAAAGACGUCCUACAGUUGCGAUUUUGCUCAAAACGAUAUUCCCAGCGAAAGAAGGGUUUUAUUCCAGUCGAUUUUUGUGUGUUUAAAAGUUCACGGUCCGAGCUUACGGCCGUAAACACCAAGUUCACGGUCGCAAGCUAUUCAAGGCUCAUACACCACAAACGAAUCCCUUCUACAGCAAAUCGAGUUCCUGACUUAAGACUUUCAGAAUAAUAUUUCAUUGCAUUAAAUUCUCAAAUAAAAUAAAUUCUUUCAGAAAAUCAUUGGCCGUAAACUCGAAGUUCUUUCAGAAAAUCAUUGGCCGUAAAUCGAUUAUCAGAUAAUCGACUUUAAAAAUUGCAUCUUCAAUUUAUUUGUUCCAGAAUUCAAAAUUUUCACGGGCCGUAAACAAGAAGUUUACGGCCGUAAACACUUCUCGGCAGUAAACCUUUCUUGAAUUUUAGUCGAGUAAUUUUCAGAAUUCACAGUAAACAGUAAAUUGUUUUGAAAAUUAAAUUUUCUUUAACAAUUAAUUAACUUUAAUUUAAAAAAUGGAAUCACAAAGUCCUAAUCAAUAUCAAGAACUUGAGGCUGUGAUGGGAACAAACACACGCAUUCCAAGACUCAUGUCCGCUGAUGGUUUCCCCGAGUGGAAAUAUAGGAUUAAGAAAUAUAUAAAAAUGAAGGACUUCAAGAUUUGGAAAUGUGUUAUAAAGGAUCCAGUGAGAAUCACCACUACAGUUGGGGGGCAGGUGGUUGACAAGAAAAUUGAAAACUACACUGAUGAAGACUUUGAGAGUGUAGAAGAACAAGAAAAGGCAUUGGCCAUUUUGACUAUGGCCUUAUCUCCAGACAUUGCUCAAGGAUUCAGAGAGUAUACUUCUGCUAAAGCACUGUGGGAAGCCCUUAUUGAAGUAUAUGAGGGAAAUGAAGACAUGCGAGAGAGUCGCCAAGACAUGCUAAGGCAACAUUUAAACAUGUUUAACUAUGUGCCUGGAGAGACUCUCGAAGCUCAACUGCAGCGAUUCACAACUCUCAAUACGGAGAUGACUAUGGCCGGGAUCUUCUAUACAAAGUCAGAAAUUAAUAAGAAGCUACUAAAUGCUCUCCCAAAAUCUUGGGACAUGAAAGUAGCUGUGAUUAAGAAGACUAAGGGUCUCAAUCGCCUUUCUCUAGCUGAAGUGAUGGCUGUCAUCAAAGCGUGCGAUAUUGAUGACAAGCAGCGAGUGAUCAAUCAUGUGAACUCCUACUCAGUUGCCAAUCUUGGAAUUUCAACUAACAAUGCUCUUUCUUCUUUCUCUUAUACCCCUGCAGGUUCAUCUUCUUCUGCACCAGUCAUUCAGUACCCACAAAGUCAACCACUCGUGUCUGCCCAAACUGCUCCAACCUCAAAUGUGGCCUCCUCUUCAAAAGGAAAGGAGGGUGAUGAAAACCUUGUCUUUGCAGCAGGGCUUGUGAAUUGCUACAAUGCACUUGUAGCUGGGGAGCUUCCGCCUCAAUUGUCAUUUGCAGAUCUUGAUCAAAUCCAUCCGGAGGACGUUGAGGAAAUGGACAUCACAUGGCAAAUUGCCAUGGCUGUAUUUAGGGCAAAACAGUUUGCCAAAAAGACAGGGAAGAACAAUUGGGGAAUGAGCGCUGAUAAGAAGGUUGGAUUCAACAAAGGAAAGCUUUAGUGUUUCAAUUUCCAUGAGCCAGGGCAUUUUGCUCGUGAUUGCCCACAACCCGAUAGAAGGGUUAAUAAUGACAGAACAAUGGUUGAAGUUGGGAACAACCAAAGCAGUGGUCAAGCAAACAAUGAAAAGGCUAUGGUUGCACAGUCUUUCGAUUGGGAUGAUUUAAUACAAGCUCUCAACUUAUCUGGACCAGAAAAUGCUCAUAUGGCACACGUAAGGGAUGAUACUGCUGCAGGGAUUGUAGCAGGUAAAGACAGUGUGAUGAAGCUACAAUUUGCUUUGAUGGUAUCCUCUUCCCAUGAACCUAAUUCGUCCAAGGUAAGUCUCCCAUCAUGCUCUAAGGCUUGUAUAGAUUAUGUGAAAACUUUACAGGAUAAAAUUGAGACAUUAGGCAAUGAAGUAGAAAAUCUUAGGAUUCUUCGUGAACUCAAUGACAAAUUAAUAAGAGACGUAGAAGACCUUAGAUAUGAAGGGUACCGACUUCGAAAAGGACAAAAACCACUUAAAGCUCAACUAGAAUAAAAAAUUAAAGACUUUAGGAGACUCCAGGAAGACUACAGUAACAAAUGUGAAAACUAUGAUUAUGUAGUCAAACAAAAUGCUGAGCUAGUGGCUGAAGUUGAAUCUUUGAAAGGAAAAUUUGAGACCGCCAAACUUGAUGUUAGAAAAUAUGAUUUCUCAAGUGAGGUGGUUGCAAAUAUGAUAGACCAAAGUAUGAAGUUUAAAAGGAAUCAAUCAAAAGGUCUAGGGUAUAAUCAUGGACCCCCUCCUUUCAAUCAUUCAUAUGUGUCCAAGCCUUUGUCCAAAGAAGAGAUUGCCAAUGAAUCAUUUAUGAUUUAUGGCAAGCCCUCCGGUUUUGUUUCGGGAGGAUUUAUUAAUGUUGAAAGUACUAACAUUUCUACUUCUCCUGCAGAUCAAUCCUUGAAUCAGUCAAAGCACAAAGUUGAAGGAUGUGUUUCUGAAAAUAAAAUCGAGUCCAAACCUGAAGUUUUCAUUUUAAAUAAAGACAAUUCUUUUUCAAAUGUUUUAAGUGACAAUAUUUCUUGUGGUGUUUUUAAUUCUUCUGAUACAGUAGCUGCUACUUCUGAUACAGUUUUGAGUGCUUCUAAUAUGUCUGAUAAAUUUUUGAACAAUUUGGUUGACAAUUUGAAUGUUUGUGAUAAAAAUGUUGAGACACCACUAGUUUCACAACCCUCCAUGAGUAUAGCACCCUCACUUGCCUCACAACCUAAUAAUGUUGCAUGUUCCUGUGAGACAAGCAAGGGUGUUUGUAGGGAAAACGAAUCUGAUAAAUGCAGCACAAGUUCUAACAAUAACAAGCAGAUUUGUUUUAAUUGUGGCACUAGUGGUCAUAUUGUUAGAAAUUGUCUUAAUCCAUUGUUUGUGAGUCAUAAUCUUCCAAGAGGGGAGAACGAGUUCAGAGGAAGGUCUUUAAAUAGAAAUUCCUCUAGAAGUCGCUCUCAAAAUGAUGAUUGGGCAGAUGAAAGAAAUAGAAAAAGGGAUAUUUUUCACAGACAUAAAAAGGUUUUUAAUCACCUUGUCCGAAGCAGUCUGCCAAAAAGGAGCAUAGCCACGCCAAGGUCAAGCUCAUCCCAAAGCAGUAGUGGAUCUUCAACCAACUCUAGUAGAAGUAACACAUGCUUUAAGAAGAUCGUUAAACAUAAAACGACAAAGUUAACUGAGUUUUUCAGAAAACCUAAUUAUAAAUGGAGGCCCAAACAUGCUCCCAAUACAUCAUCUGUGUCAUCAGAGAAGUUUAAGUGCAAUAAAUCUGAAAAGGCAUCGGGAUCACCCAGGAAGAUCAUGACCUGGGUGCCCAAAUCUAAUUAAACCCGCACAUUUUGCAGGGAUAGUUGCGGGGAAAUGUCGUCAGACCCUGGUUUGUCGACAGUGGCUGUUCCCGGCAUAUGACGGGAGAUAUCACCCAACUGCACAGCAUUCAAUCAUUUAAUGGGGGGUAUGUCUCUUUUGCGGGUGGAGAUGGAGGGAAAAUCACUCAAAGGGGAACCGUGUCAAAUGGAGUUCUAAGUUUCGAAAACGUGAAUUUCGCUCCCGAGUUGAAACACAGUCUGUUAAGCGUUUCUCAGAUUUGUGACAAGGGCUAUUCUACGCAUUUCACUGACAAGGAAUGCAUGGUCUUAAAGCUAGGCUUUGUCAUCCCUGAAGAAUAGAUUCUCGUAAGAUCAAAAAGGGAUGUGAACGCCUAUAUUAUUGAUAUGAAUAGCAAUCUCCCAGAACAGGUUACUUGUCUAUUCUCCAAGAUCUCCGAGCAAACUGCAAUGCUGUGGCACCGAAGAUUAGGUCAUGCUAACGCCAAGAAUCUAAAUCGUCUUGCGAAAAAUGAGAUGGUCCGUGGAUUGCCCGUCAAGGACUUCAUUACGUUUGAAAAAUGUGUGUCGUGCGCUCAAGGAAAGCACCAUCGAAAGCCGCACUUGCCAAAACAGGUUAACUCAAUCAGUAAGGUUCUUCAAUUACUUCACAUGGAUUUGUUUGGUCUAGUGAACGUGCUAAGCAUCAACAGAAGUUCUUACUGUUUAGUUGUGAUUGAUGAUUUCUCUCGAUUAACGUGGGUUUUCUUUCUAUCCAACAAAGCGGGUGUCACUGAAUUGAUCAAGAAGUUCACUGUACUUGUUGAGAAUCAGACCAAUCAUAGGGUGAAGGCGCUUCGUACCGAUAAUGGAACAGAGUUCAAGAAUUCCGUUCUCAAUCACUUCUGCGCUGAAAAGGGUAUCCUGCGUCAAUUUAGUUCAGCUCAUACACCUCAACAAAAUGGUGUUGCUGAAAGACAGAACAGAACACUCAAAGAUGCUGCAAGAACGAUGCUGUGUGACUCAAAGCUACCUGUUUUCUUUUGGGCGGAGGCGAUAAACACUGCCUGUUAUGUUCAGAAUCGGGUGCUUAUCAACAAAGCUCAAAUGAAAACUCCGUAUGAAAUUUACUAUGGACACAAGCCGUCAAUCAAUCACUUCCGAGUAUUUGUCUGUCCUUGCACCCUUCUUCACCUAGAUGCCAAAACGAAGUUCAAUGCCAAAGCCGAUGACUGCUAUUUUGUAGGGUAUGCUGCUCGCACCGCUUAUAGAGUCUACAAUAAGAAAAUCAAACAGAUUGUGGAAUCAUAUGACGUGCGUUGGUUGGAAGAGAAUGAGACAGACGCAAGAGUGGGUCCGGAUUGGUUGUUUGAUUAUACGUCCUUUUUCAAAUCCUUAAACGUGUAUUCAAAUGAUGUAUCUAGACCUGGUUCGCAUUGGAAGAGUAUCUCUGAAGAUGAAGACGAAGAAGUCGUAUACAAGCCUGUAUCUAAAUCUUCUGAUUCAUCAAAAGGAAAAUCUACAACUUCACUUGAAGGAGAGUCCUCUAAAUCGCACAAGGGAGGAUCUUCUGUUGCAUCUGAGGGGGAGCCUUCUGCUGCAAGUGAGGGGGAGUCUUCUGCAACGUCUUCGGGAAAGUCCUCUACUACUCCUCAAGGGGGGCUGUUCUUGGAACAUCAUAGUCCUCAAUCAGUCCACACUGAUUCUUCUGAUGCUGAAUCGACACCUCACAUAUCUUUAGAGAAAGUGUUCGUUCCAAAUGAUGCUUCCGCUGUCUCUUCUACCCUUAUGGAAUUACUCUUUCCUGACCUUAUUGCAGAUGAGUAUGUCGCAGAACCAUCUGGUACUACUCAACCAACAAAUGAAGGAGGUCUCAACAUACACACUCUACCUGUUUCUCUUAAUGACAUCAGCCAAGAAAUACCUUCUAGGGUUCAUCGGGAUCAUCCGAUCGAAAACGUCAUCGGCCAGCUAGAUGAUGGUGUUAAAACUAGAAGUCAGAGUGGAGACGUGAAUACAUGUAUGUAUUCUUGCUUUAUUUCUCAAAUUGAGCCCAAGAAUGUAGAAAUGGCUCUAAAUGAAUCUAGCUGGGUGGAUGCAAUGCAUGAAGAAUUACAUCAAUUUGAAAAACUCGGUGUUUGGAAAUUGGUUGAGUUACCAAAGGGCAAGAAGUCUCUUGACACACGAUGGGUCUAUCGCAACAAACAGGACGAUUCAGGGGUUAUUGUGCGAAACAAAGCCAGACUGGUAGUAUGUGGGUUUCGACAAGUCGAGGGUCUUGACUACACUGAAGUUUAUGCUCCAGUAGCUCGCCUGGAGGCUAUUCGUAUCUUCCUAGCGUAUGCUUCCUUUGCUGUCUUUCAAAUGGAUGUCAAGACUGCCUUCUUGUAUGGCAAGGUGAAGGAAGAAAUCUACGUUGAUCAACCUCCAGGGUUUGUCGACUCGAAGUAUCCUAAUCAUGUCUACAAGUUGGACAAAGCGUUAUAUGGGCUGCAUCAAGCUCCUAUAGCAUGGUAUGCAACCCUAACAAAGCAUCUGCUCGAACAUGGUUACUCUCGUGGCACUAUCGAUCAAACAUUAUUCAUAAAGCAUGUCGACAAGGACCAUAUACUCGUACAAAUAUACGUCGAUGACAUAUUAUUUGGAUCAACAAACCAAAAGCUAUGCAAAGAGUUCGAAAGUGUAAUGAAGAAAAGAUUUGAAAUGAGUUCGUUGGGGGAAAUGACCAUGUUUUUGGGGCUUCAGGUUAAACAGAAUUCAACCGGCAUCCUUCUACAUCAGGCGAAGUAUGUGGAGGAUAUUCUUGAGAAGUUUGCGCUUCACGAUGCUAAAUCUGCUUCUACACCGAUGGCUGAACGACCUCUCCUGACUCCAGAUCCAGAAGGUGAACCCGUAGAUCAAACUCUCUAUCGAUCGAUGAUCGGAUCCCUGAUGUAUGUUACUGCAAGUCGACCAGACAUUAUGUUUGCAGUUUGUCAAUGCGCACGUUAUCAGGCUAAUCCUAAACUUUCUCACCUUAUUGCUGUUAAAAGAAUUUUUCGGUAUAUCAAAGGAAGCCCUAAAUUGGGUCUUUGGUAUCCGAAGAAUUCUGAAUUUGAUCUUUAUGCUUUUACUGACAGCAAUUAUGGAGGUUGUGAGCUUGACAGGAAAUCAACUUCAGGAGGAUGUCAAUACCUAGGUGACAAAUUAGUUUCAUGGCAAUGCAAGAAACAGCACACUGUCUCGACUUCAACAACAGAGGCAGAAUACGUUGCUGCAUCAGCAUGCUGCUCUCAAGUUAUCUGGAUCCAACAUCAGCUGUUGGACUACGGUUUGAAUUACUUCGAAACCCCUAUCUAUUGUGAUAAUGAAGCGGCAAUUCAAAUAGCUAAAAACCCAGUCCAACACUCUAAAACCAAGCACAUCGACAUUAAAAUUCACUUUAUCAGAGACUGUUAUGAACGAUCUUUAAUUCGAAUCGAACAAGUCCACACUGAUAACAAUGUGGCGGACUUGUUCACAAAGCCUUUUAACAAAGCUCGUUUCGAUGUGCUUGUGGGAUUUCUGAAAAUGAUACGUUUUGAGGAUUAAGUUUUUUUAUUUUUNNNNNNNNNNNNNNNNNNNNNNNNNNNNNNNNNNNNNNNNNNNNNNNNNNNNNNNNNNNNNNNNNNNNNNNNNNNNNNNNNNNNNNNNNNNNNNNNNNNNNNNNNNNNNNNNNNNNNNNNNNNNNNNNNNNNNNNNNNNNNNNNNNNNNNNNNNNNNNNNNNNNNNNNNNNNNNNNNNNNNNNNNNNNNNNNNNNNNNNNNNNNNNNNNNNNNNNNNNNNNNNNNNNNNNNNNNNNNNNNNNNNNNNNNNNNNNNNNNNNNNNNNNNNNNNNNNNNNNNNNNNNNNNNNNNNNNNNNNNNNNNNNNNNNNNNNNNNNNNNNNNNNNNNNNNNNCUCGGAUAGGUUGAGCAGGGAGAUAUAUAUGGGAAUCUACUCGUCACAUUAAAUGAACCCGUACUUGGAACCGUGGUUUAACUUUUCCUCGAUGUGCGGAUUCUGUCCUUAAUUCCGGUUGGAUGGGGCGACUGGUAAAUUCCGAUAAAUUAAGUCUGUAGAAUAUCAUUUUCUUUCUUUCCGUCUGUUAGUCAUAUGUUGUCUCCUUUGCGCGACUUCUAAUCUGACUUGGUACACAACAUAUGCAACUCUAUUUCUCUACAGGAUAUAUAUGUGUGUGAAAUAUAUGUGUGAAAUACUUCUCAUCUGUUAGCCAUAUGCUGUCUCCUUUGCGCGACUUCUAAUCCGACCUGGUACACAGCAUAUGCAACCUUCUUCUUCUCAACCCCUCUGAAGUAGUUAGCAAUAGAAUUCUGAAUCUCUUCUCUCUCUGAAUGGUUGUCUGCUCACCCGGUGUAAGGAGUACUCUGGAAGUUCUUGAUGGCUGGGGCAUAUCAGGAAGCGGGAAACACGUUCCAGUACACUUAAAAUUGAACUCAUACAAAUUGUCUGUAGAUCUCGCUGCUCGAUUUAGGUGGACAAUAAUAUCCCUGGUUGUAUUCAGUUAAAUGGUCAUAAGGUGAAUUUAUUUAAGAUUUAGGAGUUAUCAUAAUUACAGAAAUUUACAAUUAGGUAUAUGCCUGAAUUAUGUCAUUGGUAAAAUGUCCAAAAAGUGUCACAAAUCUUUCGUGCUUAAGUGGACCACAAUACUGGCAAUCGGUCAGACGAAGAUGUGAAGAUAAGGGUACCGACAAGCGGAAUAAGGCCGUCCAACAACUUUGAUCCAAGCAUCACAAAGGUUAUAGUGGUUAAAUUUGUUGUGAAUUUAUUUAAGAUUUAGGAGUUAUCAUAAUUACAGAAACUUUGAUCCAACAACUUCUCUCAAUUUUAUUUUUUAAUUUUUUAUUUUAUUUUAUUUAUAUUUUAUUUUUAUUUUUUGUAAAAAAAUGUUAAUUUUAAUUUUAAUCUUUACUUACUUUUGCUAUUUCAAUUUUUAUUUUAAUUUCGUUUUUUAUUUUAUUUUAUUUUAUCUUAUUUUAUUUUAUUUUCGAACUUAAUCCUCAAAAAGUUUUUUUUUUUUUAAAUUUAAUUGGUGGAAGUUGGAUAUACUGGGUGGUUAUCAGGUAAGAAGGUAAGGGAAGGUAAAAAGGUAAAAAGGAGUUCACUGCCGGAAUCUCCUCGUUCACGAGAUUCCGGCCGCAAACCCACUCCCAAACCCUCUCAAAAGGCAGAAAUUUUUUUCUUGAUAUUCGGAAAAACAAAUACAUCAUCUUAAAGGUAACAUCUUGUAGAUCACAAAUAUGUAANACUUCUAGAUCACGAAUAUGUAAUUUGUUUCGUGUUUCACCGUGUCAUCAUGCCGGAAAUCAUGAAAAACGAUUCGACGGAGCUUACGGUCGUAAGCUUAGGCCGUAAACUCCGAACACUUGAAUUUUGGACUUGGUUUUAAUUUAUAUUGGUGAUAUUGAUUCUUACAUUCACGAAUCUUCAAGUCUUAUGCGUUAAUUCGAAGUGUAGAAUCGAUUUUUGGGGAUUUUUCCACUGAAGGUUCUUAGGCCGUAAACUCCAAGUUUACGACCCAGGAACAAUGAGUUUACUGCUGUCGUUUCGAAUGAAAUAAUUAAGGCAAUGUCGUGUGUUGAUUUUCAAAACAACUCUUAGGCCGUAAACCUCGAGUUUCCGGCCCAAGAACCGAUUUUUCAGUUCGUUUUGUUUCACGAUUUCCUUCAACAUCUUGGCAGUAAACUUAAUGUUAUCAUUUUUAUACAAUAAAAUUUUAUUUUGGUCAAAAUAAAAUUCUAUUUUGAGGUUUCUUACAGUUGUGUUUGAGUGCAAACAAUGGCGAACCUAAAAUUUGCAGAUAUGCACAACCUAGCAAUUGUACUCGCGGACCCUCCAGCUGUUCACUCAGAUAUGCGUUCGAUGAUUCAUCGAUUGCGUGAAUGCUGCUUAGCAUCCGCAAUCACUAUAAAUCCGGUGGUUUAUCAAAGUUUGAUACGCGAGUUUUGGGCGACUGCGGAGACACACAUGGAUGAUGAUGGCAAUUUUACGGUGAAGGCAAAAGUACAGGGUCGAGAGAUUGUCAUUAAUGAAGGCUUUAUUCGUGAAGCGCUGCUAAUUGAUGAUCAACCCAAUUUCCCAACAAAGAUUGGAAUCGAAGAUGUUCAAAGGGUUCUACGAAGAAUGAGGUACGAGGGAACCUUUCCGCCGAUGCUGAAAAAGUUGCUACACCCAUACUGAAGGUCUUUGGGCCAUGUUUUUGUGAGUUGCAUCUCGGGAAGGAGGUCUGGGGCAGACGAGAUCUCUCAGCGCACAACUGGUGCUCUGGUAUCUCUUGCUGCUGGGUUUCGCUCUAAUUUCUCAAAGUUCAUCCUUGAGGAAUUUUUUAUCAACAUCAGAGCUUCUACUCGGGAUACUUUUCUGUUGUAUCCCCGCUUCGUACAAAUGUUCAUUAACAUUCAGUUUCCAAACGUGAGAAAGACGGGAGAUACAUUGGAUAUGAAGUCCUUGGGUCCCCACACGGUGGGACUCAUCAAACAAAAUCGGAAAGGCAAAGUCAUAUUUCGAGGACUAUAUCCUCUUGAAAAGUUUGGGAAAUUUACCGAACUGGAUGAAACUCCAGAGUUAUAUGAGUCGUCAGAGCAAUCCUCCUCGGAGCAGACAUCUGCUGAAAAGUCAACGCCAACCAACAUUGUUAUAGAUGUGUCCGAAGAUGAAGAAACCGAGAAAGAAGACUCUCCAACUCCCAAAGUUCAAACUGUCUCAGAACAUGAAAGAGAGUUGAGUGAUGAUCAAGUUAGUGGAGAGAUGAGUACUGGUGAAGAGAGAAAUGACUCUUUUGAUGAUCUAGAUUUGACUGGUUUUGACCACGAUGAUAUUGCAACUUCGUUGGAAAGCAGUGUUAAUGUGGUGUCUCAUGAAAAUCUUGACCCAAUUUUCCAUAAUGUCGAUGAUGUUGGUCUUCACACAACUGAGACAAGGAAAUCGAGCGAGACGUUUGAUACGCGAACUCCUACUUCAAAGCAAAUGGUGUCGACUUCUGUUCCUAUGGAGAUGGUUAUGGGAUGUUCCCCUCCUGUGUCCGUUUCUCCUACUCCUGAACCGUUUGUGAGUGUGUUUUCUCCUGAAGCUGACCAACAACAAUCUAAAAGAAAAAGACUUGAUGCAAGACAAUCUGAACUGAUCACAAGUUUGGUUAGUGGUCUUCCUACCCCACCUUUCACUGCUACUACUACAAGGCUCACCACUACAAAUAUGUUUCCUACUGGUCCGAGUUCAACAUUUGAUGUUGGUGGUUCCUCUGCACCGCCUGGUUUCUCAGUUCCUAGAUACCGUCGAGAUGUUGCUUCUGAAAGGCUGGCAUUGCACAUGGCUGAAGAACAAUUUGUAUCGCCAGGUCCUCGAGGAAAGGGUGUUUCCAUUGAAGAAGGUGCUGCUAGGGAUGACAAUCUUACUCUUGCUGGUCUGCAGAAAGAAAUUUCAGUUCCUAGCCAGAAAAAUAUUGAACUUGAUAUUCAGGUGGCAGAGCUUCGUGCCGAGAAUGUCGCUCUUCGUAAUCAAGUUUCCCAUCUACAAUCAGAUAAAUCUAGUCUUGGCGGACAACUGGCUGAACUCAAGAAGGAUAAGAAGGUGAAAAGCAAGCAGAUCUCUGAUCUACAAGAUCAUUUUAAUCUGCUGACUUCGAGUUAUUUUGAGUUAAAGAAGAAACUUCAUGUUGAUUUUGGGGAAAAAUACCAGACGUCCGUUGAAGAACAGAGGAUUAAUCUUCACGUACAAGCUUUUCCAAUUGACCUACCAGUCGGUCAGUCUUCUAGUACUGCUGAACGUGUUGUUGAUCCUCCGUUGGCUCCACACAUUCAAGAACUUAUUCGUCGCAAUCAAAGAGAUGAUGUUCAGAGAGGACAAUUGUUAUUUAAACGGAAUAUUAAUCAGAAUACAUUUUGGAGCGAACCCUUAAUAACUGUUACUGAUCUUGAAGUUGUUAGGUUCCGAGAUACAUUUGGAGAUAGAUCAGGAGUGGCUGCCUGGGGAUUUCAUGAUGCUCUCAGAAUGUGGAUUGUCAUUUGUAAGAGUGGUAAUUCAGAGUUGUAUAAGGAUAUUCAUGCAUUUAGGUCGUUCACGAGAAUUGAUCUAACGGAAUUGUCUCAAGCUCCGUUUAUCAAUCUUUUCAACACUCCUUAGGUUACUCAGUUUAAACACUUUCUGGAUGAUCAAGUGAAGAAAGGAUUUCCAUCGAUGCCGACGGCAGAGUUAGUCAUAUUUGAACACCCAGAUGUCUUGGAACCAUCUACUGACAAGCCGUUGCAGGUAGUGAUGUGGCCUGCAACGAAACAAGUCAAGCAGUUUCCUGUACUUCAAGAUUUUUCAAGAUGGAUCUCUCAGUUCUUUGGAAUGCUGGGUCUAUGAUGAAAAUACAUCAAGAGCGGUUAUCAAACUUAAGAACGGGUGUAUUCGUUUGUACGAUCGCAGAGACUUGCUGCAAUUCAGGAAAUGGGAUAUUUAUUAUCUUAGCAACUUUCAAAUUAAAGUUGUUGAAGAUAUUUAUGAGGAAGGAGCCAAGGUGUACACAACGAUGGUCGCGGAGAUUCUAAGCAAGAGAAUGUGGAAUGGAGCGAUGGGCCAGAUGGAUGUGAUGAUUGUCGACAAAGGGAUGGGCUCGAGCUAGUCCAAACCAAGGGGGAGAUUGAAACACCCUGUCUAAUGGUUUGGUCUAGGCAUACUAGUUCGUGGUAGUGAUUGUGUAGGAAAAACCGAUUUUUGUCUAGUUUACGGUUGUUAUGUGUUUACGGCUGUAAACUCCUUGCGGUUGUAAGUCAUGGUUAUAAAUAGGGCGUUGUGUCAGACUUUAAAGGUUGUUGAUGCCUUCGUGUUUUCUCCAAGUUGUAUCUGACGUUUUAUUGCUUUAAGGCGUAUGCAAGCUUGGUUCGUUGUGUUAUUUGCUUAUUAUUUCAUCUUUGCUUCUGUUAUUUGUCUUUGAUCAUUGGUAGAUCCAUUUUUUCGGGCUUUACAUGUACGACCUUGACCCGGCAAGGAAUGACCCUUGACUGGGAAGUUAAACAAGAAAAGGAAACCUUGGAGAUUCCAAGUGAGAGACCAAGUUCUUUAGGAAGUCUCACUCUGGGAACGGCUUAAUACGCUUCGUAAAGCGUGGAAAGCAAAAUCCAAGAUAGAUAGGACCUUCGAGAUUCUUGCCAAAAUCG